rnacentral:rRNA from 1 species
GUACUAAGGUAGCAUAAUCAAUUGUCUUUUAAUUGAAGAAUGGAAUGAAAGAAUUAAUGACAUAUAUACUGUCUCAAUUAUAAAAAUUAAUUUAAAUUUUUAGUUAAAAUGCUAAAUUUAAAUUAUGGGACGAUAAGACCCUAUAGAAUUUUAUAUUAAAUUAUUUAUAAUAAUUAAUUAUUAAAUUGUUAUAAAUAAUUUAAUAUUUAAUUGGGAGGAUUUAUAAAUUUAAUAAACUUUAUAUUAAUAAUUAAACUUUGAUUUAAGAAAAUUUAAUUUGAUAUAGUAGUAUUAAUUAGGAAAAAAAAUUACCUUAGGGAUAACAGCGUAAUAUCUUUUUAAAGUACAAAUUAAUAA